UCUCUCUCUCCGCAGUGUGGAUUCGUGAUGGGGGAUCCAGCACCCCAUCCGUGGCCACCUUCCUCUUCAUGCGGUGGUGCCUGGGCAGGUUCCACGGGAGGGUGUCCCCUGCCGACAGCGACUGCGAUCCCGACGCCUGGCCACUGCUGCUGCAGCUACUGCUGUCCUCAUCCGACGAGUCGACGGUGGUGGUGGUGGUGGUGGACAAGCCUGAGAUCGAAACUAAAGCCAAUGGGUGUCCUAAGGUCAAGUGGGAUGAAUGCUUUCCAUCCGUCGUGGAUUGCUCUACUGUAUGUGUCACAAUUGCUGGUAUGACAUAAGGGCAGGAAAUGCAAGGAUGUGGAGUGGUGGGGUUAGGGGUUGGGUGAGUUGGGUCUUUGUUGUGCUACCGGGGAGGAGUGGUUGGAGGGAGAAAUAAUGAAGAGAGAAAAAAUAUUUAUUUGCUAUUAAUCUAUGUUUUUUUUUAACCCGGUAAGGCCCACUGAGCGAUAUAGCUGUGGUUUUUUUGUUUGUUCAAAAGCGACCUGGACCACAAAUCAUAUCUCAACGAAGUGGCUUAUCAUGCGGAAAUGUAUAGCAGCCGAGUACUUUAAACGCGUGUUUAUAAAUGUGGAGGGGAAAACUCGGAAGACCCGGAGAAAAAUCCACGCGACCACGAGGAGACACGCAAACUCAAGAGUCGGAAUCGAACCCACGAGUUGCUGCAUACCAGACGAUGUAGUGAACAUCUCGCCACCGAGAUGAUAAGAGUGGAUGGUAACAGUGCCGGAUUAAGCUAGUGCGGGGCCUGUAGCAUAUGUUGCAAAGGGGCCCUAAAUAAAAUAAAAAUAUUAAAACACAUUUUGUUUUACUUGCAGAGUAAAGUACAGUAAUUGUAUAUUUGUAUUUGCUAUACAGCCAGAUAAUACGACAAAUCGCUAACCUUAACCACCCAGUCGUUCAUAAAAGUUGAAGGCAGUAUAGUACUAUAGUAAUAGAGCAAGUGCAGAAUCACUGAACCGGAAUUGAUAGCUUGAAAGCAUUUAGCGCGGGGCCCUUAAAAGUGCGGGACCCGUAGCAUAUGCUACUUUUACAACUAGGAUAAUCCGGCACUAGAUGGCAAUAAUAACACGGUGAAGUGCUGGUGCAGUUACACGAGUUCGAUUGCCGGUCAUGGAAAACAUCAUCAGUGGCAUUUGAAUCGGUCCCAGCCCCUACCCCUCACUCUUCACCAGUCCGUACUGACCAGACGCGUGAAGUAUUGUCAAACAAGCCACAUCAUCGACACUGCGUGGGAAGGUCUUUGUCCAUCAAGUGGAUCGGCAAAGGGAUGUAAAUUCCUGCAUUGCUGUUAUGAACGGACAUUAAGUUGGAUGAAUGAAUGGGUCGAUGAUGGCAUCCCUAAAACAAAGAGCUUAACCCUCCAAAAAACAGACAGAACCAGCUCUCCCUUGUUUAAAUAAACAGCGUGCACUGUUACUUCCUCGGGGGAUCACUG